ACCUGGGUGGUGCAAACGGUUAAUACACUUGGCUGCUAACUGAAAGGUUGGUGGUUCGAGUCCACCCAGAGGUG
rnacentral:tRNA from 1 species